rnacentral:lncRNA from 1 species
UUAAUAAUGUUCGACUGUCUUUCAAAACAUUAUCAAAUUAUAAGACUGCAGUUACAAAUUAAUUUACCGUAAUUGAUAUCAUUUCACAUCAUUUUUGCAUUGCUGAAAACUGAAGAAGUUUUUAGAUAGUUUGAUUUAUUCCCUUUAGUGUGGUAAACAUGUUAAACGAAUUUAAAAAUAGAGCUCCAAAUUUCUCUUUAUUAAUGUCAAAUUGAUAUUGAUUUUGGAAAAAAAAGUCUUGUGGUGUGUUUUUUUCCCAGUAACUUUAUGUUGAAAUGUACAACAUAGAUCACUUUGAUUAAAACUGCUUUAAAAAGAGAGAACACCUGCGAUAUGAAACAUUCAAAAAUUUUAGAAGUUCUCUCAUCUGGAAUAAUAUACUGUGAUCUUUUGUUUCUAUUAUUUAUGUAAAAUGAUCAUGAGAAUAGUUUAAACCCAAACUGAAAUAUUAUAUCCAAGUGUUAAGUUUAAAAUUUUGUAAUGAACAUAUAUGAAAUUUCAAAUGUGUUUGAUUUUUAAGUGAAACUAGGCCACAAAUAUCACAAUCUACUGGAAGCCAAUCAUAUUCAUGACAAUUGAUAUCAUAUUGCAUUAUUCCCUACUUAUUAAUAAAAAAACAAGAAUGUGUCCAUAGUACACGGAUGCCCCACUCACUAUAUUUACAUGUUCAUGGACGUGAAAUUGGGUCAAUACUUAAUUGCAUUAAAAAUAGUUACAUAGUACAUGUGUACUAAGUUUCAAGUGAUUGGACUUCAACUCAUCAAAAACUACCUUGACAAAAACUUACCUGAGCUUCCACUAUCUCUUCUUUGUUCAGUGGACCAUGAAAUUGGGGUCAAUACUUUAAUUUGACAUAAAAUUAGAAAGAUCAUGCAUAGGGAACAUGUGUACUAAGUUUCAAAUUGAUGGACUUCAACUUCAUCAAAAACUACCUCGACCAAAACUUUAACCUGAAGCGGACGAACGAACGGAGCACAGACCAGAAAACAUAAUGCCCUCUACUAUCGUAGGUGGGGCAUAAAAAGGGUAAUUCAGUUUAACCAUGUUAACUGAAUAACACUUAAGCUUUAGUCUUUUUUUUCACAGUUACAUUCAAUAAGCACAAUAUUUAUGUCAACUUAAUACAGAUCUUUCUUUGGUGAAUAAAAAAUGUAUCAUAAAAUUGAUAUGAAAAUACAAAUGUAAAUGUUUCCAUAUAUUUAAGGCAAUGUAAAGCACUAACCAUGAUCAGCUGAUCACAACCGGAUUUCACUGUGUAAAACUAUCUAUUCUUCAUAGAUAUACAUUUCAAAAAUUUAUAUAACUGUCACAUAAAAAAGAUGAAUUUGACUGUCACAAACACAAAUUGUUUGAACUUCUAAAUUUUUUACUGUCUUUUUUAUCAAUUACAUUGAACAGCGUUGGAAGAAAAGAAAAGAGUUUAUAUUUUGUAGGAUCAUUCUUGGUUAUUCUAGAUAGGCCACAAAAACUAUACAUUCUGGUUUCCUACCUUGAUGCAUUUAAAAAUAGAGAACUUCAGUAGAAUAUCUUUUUUUACAUAAGACUAUACAAGGAAAUGUUCUGCACAUUAACAGAUCUAACUA